AACGAACGCUGGCGGCAUGCCUAACACAUGCAAGUCGAACGAUACCUUCGGGUCUAUUGGCGCACGGGUGCGUAACGCGUGGGAACCUGCCCUUAGGAUCGGAAUAACUCCCCGAAAGGGGUGCUAAUACCGGAUCAUGUCUUCGCACCAAUGAUUUAUCGCCUUUGGAUGGGCCCGCGUUGGAUUAGCUAGUUGGUAUGGUAAAAGCCUACCGAGUAGACGAUCCAUAGCUGGUAUGAGAGGAGGAUCAGCCACAAUUGGACUACGACACGGCCCAGACUCCUACGGGAGACAGCAGAGGAGAAUAUUGGAGAAGGAAGCAGAAUGUAGGCCAGCAAUGUCGCGGAUGGGAGGAUGGCGUUAGGAUUGUAAAGCUCGUUUAGCCGAAACGAUAAUGACAGUACCGGGAGAAUAAGCGCCGGCUAACUCCGUG
rnacentral:rRNA from 1 species